ensembl:lncRNA novel transcript
GCUAUCAGCAGACAUAUGCAGAGUGUAGACGAAGUCUUAGCAAGAGGAUCGGGGGUCCUACAGAGAGAAAGGCUUGAGGAGCUUCAUAGAAGUCUCUUUAAACUAAGCUUUGAAAGACGACUUGGGGAUUCACCGGGCCAGAUGGGAUGGGAGGGAGGGAACGGGCAAUCGAGCUGCUGGGCGGAGGUGAGCAGAUGGACCGGAUGCAAAGCAUAUGACACACCAGGGAAACUUGGAGAAGGACCAUAUGGCAAGAAAUUGAGGGAAGUCUUCAAACACAGUACAGUGAAAAAUUAAAGCCUUCAGUCCAACAGCCAUCAGGAACUGAAUCCUGCCAACAACCACAUGAGUAAGAGAAUCCUCCUUUACCAAGCCUUCAGAUGAGUCUGUAGCCCCAGUUGACACUUUGAUUGCAGCCUUGUGAGAGAACCUGGGGCAGAGGCAGUCAGCUAAACAUCACCUGGAUUUGUGAUCCCCAGGAAUCAUGAUAUAAUAAAUGUCUGUUGUUUUAAGUUGUUACCUUUUGAGGUAAUGUUAUGCAACAAUAGACAACAAAUACACUAAAUUCACUUAUUAGUUCUAAUUAUUAUUUCAUCGACCCUAAGAUUUUCUACCUAUACAAUUAUGUUGUCUACAAAUAAAAACCAGUUUUACUGUUUACUUCCCAUCCGUAUUCCUUUUCAUUUGCUUGUUUUGUUUUAUUGCACUGACUAGGAACAGGAAUACAAUGUUGAAUAAAAGUAAUGAUAUUGCCUAUCCUUUCCUUGUUCUCCUUAGGAAGAAUGUGUUCAAUUUUUCAGCAAAGAGUAUAAUGUUAGCUGUAGUUC